rnacentral:tRNA from 1 species
GCCUGGCAGGCUCACUCAGUAGAGCAUGAGACUCUUAAUCUCAGGGUCAUGACUUCAAACCCCAUGUUGGGCA